rnacentral:pre_miRNA from 1 species
CCUUCUUACACGGGGCAUCAUCACCUCUAAUACUGGCAAGAUGUUUAUUGAAUCUAUUUUUAGUGGCAUUAGAAAUAUGUCCACAAAAUUUGCACAUGAUUUUGUUUUUGUCAUUCUUGACCGAGUUAACACAAUACUUCCAUCCUAAAGUUUUGGAAAAAAAAGUUUAGGAAGCUUCUUCGAACUCAGAUACGAAUGAGAAAAAUAAAUUAUGUGCAAUUUUUGUGGACAUAUGCCUAAUGUCGGCAUAAAUUGAACAUCUUCUCGGUUUUAGUGGUGAUGUAGCCCCGUUUAAGAAGG